rnacentral:rRNA from 2 species
UACCAGAAGUAGGUAGCUUAACCGCAAGGAGGGCGCUUACCACGGUAGGAUUCGUGACUGGGGUGAAGUCGUAACAAGGUAGCCGUAUCGGAAGGUGCGGCUGGAUCACCUCCUUUCUAGA